GUCCGUCCUUCACUCACAACACGCGCAUUUGAUGAUGUCAGCCAGGUGUGAUACAACGUAUCUGAUCAUACGAUGAGUGUUGACGACUCUUGAAACUUGGCUUGCUAGAGACUUUCUCAUCGAACGUCCUACCUUAACAGUUUGCAACGAGAGCCCCAAACAGUCGUCAGUGCUGAGCGAACUGACACACUGUUGUGGGCUCGCUUCCCGGCAGACGAUUGCAGGAUUUAGGUGUCAUUGUCUUGCAAUGUCACUGCACGAGACAGUUACCGCAUUCCAACAGGCUUACCGAUCGCGUUCCCUUAACAUACCGCCCCACAUACGAAAACGCAACACAAUUCUAUCAUAUUUCAGACACGGAACGUCAUACACCUCCUAGACGAUAAACCCCAUCGGCGGAUACUGCGGUAUCACCUGUGAAAUUCCCGAGCAAAUGUCUUCGCAAUCUCGCUGGUAAACGCUCUCAAGUGAGGGUCCAUGGUCCAAUUGUUCUUUGUCCAAGUGUCUUGUUGGGAAAACCUGGACUGAAACUUAUCUCUAGAGUCCCUUUUAUAAAGGCCAGACAUAUGCUAAUGCAGUGUUGUAGACCUCCAGUCAGACGUGCUUGCCGACGGUGGACACAAGAAGCACAGCCAUGCGUGUUUUCUGUGCAAUAAUGCUACUCGCUUCUGUCUGUGGAGGUGCGGUCGCCAAGCAACAGGAAUCAUUGACAGAAGCAACAAGCAGAAAUGACGUCCGGGAUCAAGAAAGGGCACCUGUACCUCAUCCUUUAUCUCUUCAACAUCAUCUGAACCGCAAACCGUUGGAGCCAGCGCCCAUCUACCCAUUGCCGGUUGAAGAUGAUAUAUCAUGGACGUCAGACCCUACGGUUCACGACGAAGAAUACAAGGUGAUCAGGAAAGUACCACGUCAACCGCGUUGGAGAACAAAGAAGCCACGAAGGCCCACGAAGAGGUGUUUCAUUCCGCCAAAGAGACGUCGAGGACCUGGCUUACAUCCUUGGGCUAAACAAAAACUGAACUAAGCCAAAAAAAACCUUUCACACAUAACGUCGGAAUAUUCUGAGCCUAUCUUUCUAUUCUCUGGUCGACUCUGUGUAAUUAGCCACAAUACAAAAACGCCGUCAAGUACACGAAGGAGGUGGUCAGAAUAAAAUUGAAUUUAUUUUGUUCCAA